rnacentral:rRNA from 1 species
AGGACGAACGCUGGCGGCGUGCUUAACACAUGCAAGUCGAGCGGUAAGGCCCUUCGGGGUACACGAGCGGCGAACGGGUGAGUAACACGUGGGUGACCUGCCCUUAGCUCUGGGAUAAGCCUGGGAAACCGGGUCUAAUACCGGAUAGGACUCCAUGACGCAUGUUGUGGGGUGGAAAGCCUUGUGCGGCUAGGGAUGGGCCCGCGGCCUAUCAGCUUGUUGGUGGGUGAUUGCCUACCAAGGCGACGACGGGUA